rfam:Jaapia argillacea MTCL 33604 unplaced genomic scaffold JAAARscaffold_10, whole genome shotgun sequence.
ACACUGAUGGUGAAGCGGUUAUCAUGCUUGCCUUCCAAGCAAGCGGCAGGGGUUCGACUCCCCUUCAGUGUA